GAUGAACGCUAGCGGCAGGCUUAAUACAUGCAAGUCGAGGGGCAGCACAGGUAGCAAUACUGGGUGGCGACCGGCAAACGGGUGCGCAACACGUACACAACCUUCCUGAGAGAGGGGGAUAGCCCAGAGAAAUUUGGAUUAAUACCCCGUAAGAUUGAGAAGUGGCAUCACUUUUUAAAUAAAGUCUCGCAAGAGGCGCUCUUAGAUGGGUGUGCGUCUGAUAGGUAGUUGGUUGAGGUAAAGGCUCACCAAGCCUUCGAUCAGUAACUGGUGUGAGAGCACGACCAGUCAC
rnacentral:rRNA from 1 species